rnacentral:rRNA from 1 species
CCUACGGGCGACAGCAGUGAGGAAUAUUGGUCAAUGGUCGGGAGACUGAACCAGCCAAGCCGCGUGAGGGAGGAAGGUACAGAGUAUCGUAAACCUCUUUUGUCAGGGAACAAAGGCGGGGACGUGUCCCCGGAUGAGUGUACCUGAAGAAAAAGCAUCGGCUAACUCCGUGCCAGCAGCCGCGGUAAUACGGAGGAUGCGAGCGUUAUCCGGAUUUAUUGGGUUUAAAGGGUGCGCAGGCGGUCUGGUAAGUCAGCGGUAAAAUCCCGGGGCUCAACCCCGGCCCGCCGUUGAAACUGGCAGUCUAGAGUUGGAGAGAAGUAUGCGGAAUGCGCGGUGUAGCGGUGAAAUGCAUAGAUAUCGCGCAGAACUCCGAUUGCGAAGGCAGCAUGCCGGCUCCACACUGACGCUGAGGCACGAAAGCGUGGGUAUCGAACAGGAUUAGAUACCCCAGUAGUC